rnacentral:sRNA from 1 species
UGUUCCUGUACAAACUGCCGCAAAACUAA